UGCCCAGCGACUCCUAUCCCUCCCUUCUCGCGGUACCGGCCGGAAACUAUGAGCAACCUUAGGGAAGAUCGGGUAACCAACCCCGGUGGGAACUUUGAUCAUAGGCUGACGACAGGGAAGG
rnacentral:ribozyme from 1 species